CUCUCAGGUGAGAGUAGCUGACAUGAUGAAACAUGUCUAUUCUACCAUAGCCACACUUUCCUCUCCUGACGACUGUUACCAUGGUUAUCUACCAGACCUGUAGGACAGGCUCUCUGAGGUCCAGGUUGGUCUGUUCUCUGAGGUCCAGGUUGGUCUGUUCUCUGAGGUCCAGGUUGGUCUGUUCUCUGAGGUCCAGGUUGGUUAAUGGUUGGUCUGUUCUCUGAGGUCCAGGUUGGUUAAUGGUUGGUCUGUUCUCUGAGGUCCAGGUUGGUUAAUGGUUGGUCUGUUCUCUGAGGUCCAGGUUGGUUAAUGGUUGGUCUGUUCUCUGAGGUCCAGGUUGGUUAAUGGUUGGUCUGUUCUCUGAGGUCCAGGUUGGUUAAUGGUUGGUCUGUUCUCUGAGGUCCAGGUUGGUUAAUGGUUGGUCUGUUCUCUGAGGUCCAGGUUGGUCUGUUCUCUGAGGUCCAGGUUGGUUAAUGGUUGGUCUGUUCUCUGAGGUCCAGGUUGGUUAAUGGUUGGUCUGUUCUCUGAGGUCCAGGUUGGUUAAUGGUUGGUCUGUUCUCUGAGGUCCAGGUUGGUUAAUGGUUGGUCUGUUCUCUGAGGUCCAGGUUGGUCUGUUCUCUGAGGUCCAGGUUGGUUAAUGGUUGGUCUGUUCUCUGAGGUCCAGGUUGGUCUGUUCUCUGAGGUCCAGGUUGGUUAAUGGUUGGUCUGUUCUCUGAGGUCCAGGUUGGUUAAUGGUUGUUCUGUUCUCUGAGGUCCAGGUUGGUCUGUUCUCUGAGGUCCAGGUUGGUUAAUGGUUGGUCUGUUCUCUGAGGUCCAGGUUGGCUAAUGGUUGGUCUGUUCUCUGAGGUCCAGGUUGGCUAAUGGUUGGUCUGUUCUCUGAGGUCCAGGUUGGCUAAUGGUUGGUUUACUAACCCAGUGGAAACAUAAAAGCACCAUUGUAAUUUAACCUGCAUUAGGCCAUUUAGCAGCCACUUUUAUUCAAAGUAACUAACAACAGAGACAUUUUAGUGGCCGCAGCGGGAUUUGAACCCACAACCCUUGCCAACUGGUCCACACAGGACUACUGUUACCUGGGCUGUAGGAGGGAAAUACUGGCAUGUGGCUAACCUUUCUACUACUAAUCUCGGAAACUCAGAACAACAAUCUUGCUUAAUUACAUACAGUGAGGGGAAAAAAGUAUUUGAUCCCCUGCUGAUUUUGUACGUUUGCCCAGUGACAAAGAAAUUAUCAGUCUAU